rnacentral:miRNA from 1 species
AUUUAGCCAGCUGAGUGGGGAGGAGAGAGGGACAGAGAGCCUGCUUGCUUUAAAGGAGCCAACUGGACAGGAGCCGCUUACACUCGUGUAAGCGGCUCCUCUCCUCUCCCGCUUUGCUCCUUUAAAGCAAGCAGGCUCUCUGUCCCUCUCUCCUCCCCACUCAGCAGCUCUUCUC